rnacentral:rRNA from 1 species
CUACGGGGGGCUCCAGUGGGGAAUAUUGCACAAUCGGCGCAAGCCUGAUGCAGCCAUGCCGCGUGUAUGAAGAAGGCCUUCGGGUUGUAAAGUACUUUCAGCGGGGAGGAAGGGAGUAAAGUUAAUACCUUUGCUCAUUGACGUUACCCGCAGAAGAAGCACCGGCUAACUCCGUGCCAGCAGCCGCGGUAAUACGGAGGGUGCAAGCGUUAAUCGGAAUUACUGGGCGUAAAGCGCACGCAGGCGGUUUGUUAAGUCAGAUGUGAAAUCCCCGGGCUCAACCUGGGAACUGCAUCUGAUACUGGCAAGCUAGAGUCUCGUAGAGGGGGGUAGAAUUCCAGGUGUAGCGGUGAAAUGCGUAGAGAUCUGGAGGAAUACCGGUGGCGAAGGCGGCCCCCUGGACGAAGACUGACGCUCAGGUGCGAAAGCGUGGGGAGCAAACAGGAUUAGAUACCCCCGUAGUC